rnacentral:RNase_P_RNA from 1 species
GAGGAAAGUCCGGGCUCCACAGGGCAGGGUGGUUGCUAACGGCAACCCGAGGCGACUCGCGGGAAAGUGCCACAGAGAACAGACCGCCGCGGCGACUUCGUCGCUGCGGUAAGGGUGAAACGGUGGUGUAAGAGACCACCAGCGGGCUGGGCGACCAGCUCGGCUUGGUAAACCCCACCCGGAGCAAGGUCAAAAGGGCAGGUUCGCCUGUCUGCGCAAGCGUUCGAGGGCGGCCCGCCCGAGCUUGCGGGUAGACCGCUAGAACCGGUCGGCAACGGCCGGUCCAGAUGGAUGGUCGCCACUGCGCGAGAGCGCGGUACAGAAUCCGGCUUACGAAUUAAGACAGAACCCGGCUUA